AUCCAUCUGACGAGUCCCAAAUAUGACGAAAUCUACAUCCUAGAU
rnacentral:hammerhead_ribozyme from 1 species